UACGUAGGGUGCGAGCGUUGUCCGGAAUUAUUGGGCGUAAAGGGCUCGUAGGCGGUCUGUUGCGUCGGUAGUGAAAACUCAGGGCUUAACCCUGAGCCUGCUUCCGAUACGGGCAGACUAGAGGUAUGCAGGGGAGAACGGAAUUCCUGGUGUAGCGGUGAAAUGCGCAGAUAUCAGGAGGAACACCGGUGGCGAAGGCGGAUCUCUGGGCCAUUACUGACGCUGAGGAGCGAAAGCGUGGGGAGCGAACAGG
rnacentral:rRNA from 1 species